UGAUGGGUUGUUGCUGGCUCUCUAGAGAGCAUGUGCACACCUUGUCAUCUUUAAAUCUCCACCUGUGCACCUUUUGUAGACCUUUUCAGGUCUAUGUUGUCUCAUUUACCCCAAUGUAUGUUAAUAGAAUGUUGUGACUAUAUAAUAUAUACAACUUUCAGCAACGGAUCUCUUGGCUCUCGCAUCGAUGAAGAACGCAGCGAAAUGCGAUAAGUAAUGUGAAUUGCAGAAUUCAGUGAAUCAUCGAAUCUUUGAACGCACCUUGCGCUCCUUGGUAUUCCGAGGAGCAUGCCUGUUUGAGUGUCAUUAAUAUAUAUAUCAACCUUCUCUCUUGUUGAAUGGUUUGGAUGUGGGGGUUUGCUGGCCUCUUAAAAGGAUUCAGCUCUCCUGAAAUGCAUUAGCAGAACAAAACCUGUUCAUUGGUGUGAUAACUAUCUACGCUAUUGAAUGUGAGGUGGCAGUUCAGCUUUCUAACAGUCCCUUGGGACAACUCAUCAUUAAUGUGACCUCAAAUCAGGUAGGACUACCCGCUGAACUUAAGCAUAUCAAUAAGCGGAGGAAAAGAAACUAACAAGGAUUCCCCUAGUAACUGCGAGUGAAGCGGGAAAAGCUCAAAUUUAAAAUCUGGCGGUCUUUUGGCUGUCCGAGUUGUAAUCUAGAGAAGUGUUAUCCGCGCUGG
rnacentral:rRNA from 1 species